GGGACACCCGGCUGGCGCCCCGGGUGCCGCGCUCGAGGGCCGGGGGCUCUGGGGCUGCGGAGGGCGGCGAGCGGGGCUGCCGAGAGCGGCUGGGACGGGCGGGCAGCAAUGGCGCCGGGACUGCGAGCGCUGCCCGCGCCGCUCCCUCGCCGGGCGGGCGCGGGGCCGCCCUUGGCCGCGGGAAGAGCGAGCAUCGGAGCAGCGCCCCGUCCUCGGGGCCCCCGGUGCCGGCCAGCGGGCUGCUCUUCGCCAGAUUUGGAUUAUGGUGGUUUUCUAACCCAGCCACAGUUCUGCAGUAUAGAACAGGUUCUGGCAUACACACUGUGCCCUAAAGAAAGUUCUGGCUGUAGGUAGAAUGCCAUGAAUAAUACCUUAUUGUCUGAGUGGCUUCAGAGGAAUCGUUCAUGAGUUAUUUUCUCAGAUGCAGGUAGACUGUCUUCAAAUAAUGUCAAGUUUCUGUGCUCCUUCUGUCUAAAUUUGAGUUUCCCCAGCCUGCCUGGUUAGGUGUUCCUCAACCAGACGCCAGGAGGAGACGGCAGAGAGAGCCCGGGCUCCCGCAGGGCUGAGCAGCGAGUCAGGGGCUCUACGCCUCAGGGCUUUGGCCUGUGCUGCAAACUCCUCUAACUUCUGCCUUGGAACCAGUGGAGGAGCACCUGGAGCACACCUCGGUGUUCCAAGGACAGAGACUCCCUGACUCACCGUGGCAGACAGGCAGGAGGAGGCCCGGAAGGGAGGGAGCCAGCAUGCCUGCUGUGUCAGCAGUCAGAGCCUGACCCGGACAUCUUGUGCGGAAAAACUCCGGAUAAAUGGUUUCUGUGCCCACCAGUUCUGCCCUCCCAACAGCGAAACCAGUCCCGCCAGCCAACGGGACUGGUCAAUGCAACAGGAGCCACUGGGAGGGACUGGGAGGGACUGGGUGUCAUUAUCUAGUUAACUAAACCAAGUCCCUUCACUAUAAACCUUAGACAAGGUAAAAGGGAGGUAACUUGUUUUAUGUCUUUACAGGGGCCCAAUUAAGUUUUACGAUUUCUUUUUCUUUUCUCUCUCUGGGUUGUGUUGACCUCAGGCUGUUUUCUUUUUAUGUACCUCAAAUCGUUCUCCCUUUUACCUUGUCUAAAAUUUCUAGUGAAGGGACUUGGUUUAGUUAACUAGAUAAUAACACCUUUCUUAAAAGUUGAUAACUGUGUAGAUAACAAGCACCCAUCUGCUCAGUGUCUGACCUGACAACGUGUAAUGUUUUUGCUGUUGUGUAAUGAAU